rnacentral:lncRNA from 1 species
AUGUCAGAUCACACCUACCAUAUUGGCUUCCUGUCCCCAGAACAUCAGGUUUUUGCAGCUCAUGUGUGUGGGGGGUGUCUCCUCCCGACAAUCCCCACCCCCAGCAGCAUCAGGUCCGUGCUGUUCGGGGUUUUGUUAAGCCGUUUAGUAUUAAUUGAUUUUUUUUUCCAUUUUUUCUUUCUUUCCCUGGGCGGGUCAAUAGCUGGAUGCUCAAGAGCAGAGGAUCUAUCAACUGCAGACCAAGCGGAGGGAGAGACAGGCAGACCUGGAGCAGAAAUGCAGCCGGAUCCAGCAGCUCAGCCAGGACCUGGAGGCCAGCCACCAGCCGCAGGAGGAAGCUCAGAAGCAGGACUGACGUGGCCAGGAUGGAUUUUCCUAGAACAACACUCUGAACGCAAAGUGCAGUAG